UGGCUCGACUCGGACUCGUGGCACCUCCCACCCUUGUCUCUAUACACCUGUUGCUUUGGCGGGCCCACCGGGGCCACCUGGUCGCCGGGGGACAUCUGUCCCCGGGCCCGCGCCCGCCGAAGCGCUCUGUGAACCCUGAUGAAGAUGGGCUGUCUGAGUACUAUGAAAAUUGUCAAAACUUUCAACAAUGGAUCUCUUGGUUCCGGCAUCGAUGAAGAACGCAGCGAAAUGCGAUAAGUAAUGUGAAUUGCAGAAUUCCGUGAAUCAUCGAAUCUUUGAACGCACAUUGCGCCCCCUGGCAUUCCGGGGGGCAUGCCUGUCCGAGCGUCAUUUCUGCCCUCAAGCACGGCUUGUGUGUUGGGUGCGGUCCCCCCGGGGACCUGCCCGAAAGGCAGCGGCGACGUCCGUCUGGUCCUCGAGCGUAUGGGGCUUUGUCACUCGCUCGGGAAGGACUGGCGGGGGUUGGUCACCACCAAAAUUUUACCACGGUUGACCUCGGAUCAGGUAGGAGUUACCCGCUGAACUUAAGCAUAUCAAUAAGCGGAGGAA
rnacentral:rRNA from 1 species